rnacentral:rRNA from 1 species
UGUCGUCAGCUCGUGUUGUGAAAUGUUGGGUUAAGUCCCGCAACGAGCGCAACCCUUAUCCUUUGUUGCCAGCGGUCCGGCCGGGAACUCAAAGGAGACUGCCAGUGAUAAACUGGAGGAAGGUGGGGAUGACGUCAAGUCAUCAUGGCCCUUACGACCAGGGCUACACACGUGCUACAAUGGCGCAUACAAAGAGAAGCGACCUCGCGAGAGCAAGCGGACCUCAUAAAGUGCGUCGUAGUCCGGAUUGGAGUCUGCAACUCGACUCCAUGAAGUCGGAAUCGCUAGUAAUCGUGGAUCAGAAUGCCACGGUGAAUACGUUCCCGGGCCUUGUACACACCGCCCGUCAC